rnacentral:misc_RNA from 1 species
CUCCUGGAAUUUUUGUUGCCUCGCAUUCGUCAAUCGUUUCUUUCAUUGUUUUGGCUUCUACUGAGUCUGCUUUCACUGAAAACCGGGUGAAAAUUUCUGCCAACUUUUCACUUGAAAAGGGUAUCAAGUCUGCCACUUUACGAGGUAAGAAUUUCACUCUGUUUGUGAUUUAGUGAACAGAAGUCUCAUUUUUUUUACCAGGAUGGAGAUCGUUGUAU